AUACGUAGGGUGCAAGCGUUAAUCGGAAUUACUGGGCGUAAAGCGUGCGCAGGCGGUUUUGUAAGACAGUGGUGAAAUCCCCGGGCUCAACCUGGGAACUGCCAUUGUGACUGCAAGGCUGGAGUGCGGCAGAGGGGGGUGGAAUUCCGCGUGUAGCAGUGAAAUGCGUAGAUAUGCGGAGGAACACCGAGGGCGAAGGCAAUCCCCUGGGCCUGCACUGACGCUCAUGCACGAAAGCGUGGGGAGCAAACAGGAUUAGAUACCCUGGUAGUCCACGCCCUAAACGAUGUCAACUGGUUGUUGGGGAUUUAUUUUCUCAGUAACGAAGCUAACGCGUGAAGUUGACCGCCUGGGGAGUACGGCCGCAAGGUUAAAACUUAAAGGAAUUGACGGGG
rnacentral:rRNA from 1 species